GCAUCGGUAGUUCAGUAGUAGAAUGUUUGCUUGCCAUGCUGAUGACCUGGGUUCAAUUCCGGGACAAUGCA
rnacentral:tRNA from 1 species